rnacentral:lncRNA from 1 species
GGUUGUUACAGCUAAUGGUGAGCUGCUCAGCAUGUUUGGGGUUCUUAAAGCUUGAAUUCUGUCCUUGGAGUGUAAAAGCCUGUGUUUCUGAAGCAAUGCUGAAAUCCCCCAUGGCAUGGAGGGGAUUGGAUGCACAGAAAACGUCUGGUGUGGAAGCUGACUGCCCUGGGACAGGAUGGGUUGGAGAUGGAGAGCUGGUUCGCCUGCCCUUUGUAAGGAAAACGUUCAGCAGGAACAACACAAGGGCCGGAGAGCAUUUUGUUUCUGUUGGAUCAGCAGUUUCCAGACAAAAACUAGUCCCUUCUAGCCAGCUUCGGUGAAUACUACCUCUGCUCCAUCAGUAAUGUUUUUUUCCCCAAGCACAAUUUAUGGGGUAUGCAUGACAAAAUAUUUCAAGAGGUUUAAAAAAAAGUUCCAAAGUAAAUGAGGAGCCAAAUCUUUAAAAGGUCUGCUCAUGCAUUUGCUGUGUGGAACUUGUGAUAUUUUAUAUCUGACUUUUCAGAGCAGUUCCUGGUAGCUCCCCCAAGAGAAGGUCAACAACUUCAAUCCACCCUUACUUGCCUUGCAGAAGAGGCACGUAAUACAAACAAAACAUGAAGUGUCCUGGUUCAAUUAAUCACUUUAUCUACUUCAGCAUUAAGCUGAAAAUACAACUUGCUAAUUCUACAGUCUUGGGAUUUGGUAAUCUGCCAAACCUGCACAAAGCAAUUUAAGCUAUCUGUCUGCAUUGUAAUCACCCAGGGGAAUUCUGGGAGAAGACAUAACCUCGGCUGAGAAAUGAUGCUGCUCUUUUCCAUGCUUAGAGACUUCAUGCCUACCUCUUAAGUCAAGAGUGUUGAAAUGCUCCUGGUAGUGGAUCAGUGUCAGCAGCUAAUGCAAGGCUGUAUCAGGACCUCUUCAGAGAACAGUGCUGAGACAUUCUUGCUAGGUAGUGAUUUCUGGCCACUGACAAAUGCCUCUGUUUCUGACCUUCAGCUCACAAAUAUCUGUCUCUCUUGGCUUAAAUCAUUUGUGUCUCCUUCAGG